rnacentral:tRNA from 1 species
GUAGCUCAAUUGGAUAGAGCACCGGCCUACGAAGCCGGGGGUUGGAGGUUCGAAUCCUCCCGGGUGUACCA